rnacentral:lncRNA from 1 species
AAAAACGUGACAGAAAACUUUAUUAUUUAACCCAAACCGAAAAACACCCCCCAAACCCUAGAUCUCAAGAAGAUGAGAUCUGUGUAAUACAAUGAACAAAUACAACAGAUCAGUAAGAUCUAUUGACUGAGAAAACAAAAUAAACCAAAAACAUACACAGAGAUAACAAGUUCUUUGAAACACAACCGUGAUUUCUACAAGAAAUCACUAAGACUAUCGGCUGAGACAACUCCGGCUGGAGACAGCAACAACUGAAGACAACAGCAACAAUUACUCAGACAACGGCUGAUUACAGCGACAAAUACGAACUUGAAACCCUAAUCGCCUGUACAGAACCAGAGAAAGAUGAAAAUAUAAUUGUGAGAGAGUAAUAACUUAGAAAGAAUUUUGGGGGUGAACAAGAGAGAACUGUGUGCGUAACAAUUGAGGAUUAAUCAUAGAAAUAUCCAGAACCUCUCAUUUUAUAUCAGUUGUUGAAUAAAUUACACUUUAGUCCAAGAGAUAUGUUGAUGAUGAUCGCAGUCCCCAAAAGUUUCACAAACCACCCUCAGACUUCCAGCUAUUAUAACCAACUCACAACAAACAAUAACAACCGUAUAUACCAAUCAGCCUACAAUAACAAGCCUAAAGACGUAUAUCCAGCCCAGUAAAUAAAAGCCCAAUCAUAACAUGUUGCAACCUGGAUGACAACCCAACUUGACAUUUUUAACAUGCCCCCUUCAUUCAGGUGGCAAACAUGUCUCAAAUACCAAGUUCUCUAAUGGAAAACAGAAUUUACACAAGUUGAUAUGACAUUCUUACUAGACUCCAACAAGUAAAUUGCAGUUAACACCAAAUAUUUAUCAAAACUAUACAGCGCAAAAUACCACUCGAUCCACCAGUAAGAAAGUCAUAUAUACAACAACUUAGAGAUACAAACCAAGAGAAUAGGAUUACUAUAACAAUAUCCCAACUCAGACAUAAGGUCCAUCACUACAAGCCCAUCUGCCAAUAACAAAGUGACCAGGGCCCAUUCUCACAACAAAUCCAUCGAUAACACGAUCCCUCUAUCACAAACAAUCAACAAUCGCCACAAUCCACAACCAGGUCUAAAACGAACAAGAAUAGCACGAAUCCAAUCAUACAAAAAUUGUUAUAACAAGAAUUUACAUGUGACAAGAUUUAUAAAUUCUAAUUGAACAACAGUAUUUGACUCUAUAUUAAAAAAAACAAAUAACAAAGUCACAUGUCAAAAAAUUUCUGAUCCACAUCUGAACUAAAACCUGGUCAAAAAAUCAUAAAUGCCUAUAUGUUUUUACCAAAAAAAAACCUUUACAAAUACACAAUACAUGAACCACGGAACUGAGAACUACUCACAAAGAGACAAACAUGAACAACAUAUUCAAGAACACACUUGACAACACAGUUGGUUAGAAACACAUGAACCACACAACAAGAGACAACAAGACAUACAGACAACGUCCAGGAGACACUUCGACAGUCCAAAAAAACAGAACUAAAUCACAUGAUCCAAGAUAAAGGUUCACACCACACAAAUCAAUCACAUUUUCAGGUCUAAACUCAACGAAAGCACAAGACCAUAUAACCACAAGAACAGGAUAUUACAUGAGAAAUAACCAAUAAUCAUGAUUGAAAAUACAAAAUCAUACAAUGAACAUACAAGAUUGUAUUACCAAGACAUAUAGAUGUGAGCUUUAAUAAACCAAGAAAACUACAAGUUAUCAACCAGACAACUACUCUCAGAAAGCAACAUACAAUAAGAAGCAAACAACCCUAAGGCGAAGCUGAGUCAGGGACAAGAUUCCAGGUUCAUCACUCUAUGGUGCCUGGACAUGCCUUUACUCAGUAGCCACAACCUAACAACAGAUAAUAACAACAACAAACACUGGAAGCAAUAAGAACAUGGAUCAAAUGAACAAUCAAGUUGGUGCCGGUCCUCACUACCCCGACUUCAACUAACCCAAUCAACAAAAAACAAGACAAAACUAGGAAGAUCUUACAGAGGGUGCGGUUAACUUCUUGAGAAAUCAAAUUUGUAGUUUUCAAGAACUACACAAUCUGACCAAGCCAUGAUCGAGCACACCCGGUUAGUUUGCUCUGAGCCUUCUAGGGUUCAGAGACUAACACAGGUCUUCAAAAAGGAAAGACAAGCAAUCUCUUUUCAAACUUCAACAAGUCCUGCUUAUAGUUUAUGUCUCAUUUGAAUUGAACAGAUCU